GGAACAGUAAUGACCUUGGGCCUUCCAAG
rnacentral:piRNA from 1 species